ensembl:lncRNA
AUGCUUCUGCUUCCUCCAACCACUAACCUAUUCCACACCUGCACAAGCAGCUCUGAUGAGUCACGUGCUUCAGAGCUGUCUGUGCCCAGUUCAGCUGGGGCCUUCGCUGGCUCGGUGGAACCACUAAAUAGCUCUAUUGUGGAACCCACGCUGGAAACACUUAAAGACCAACUGUCAUCUGACCAGACCCCAGAUCAGCUGGCUGCAGCCACAUCUCCCUCUUCUGACCGACGUCCCGGAUCCAACGUCAGGCCCGUCCUGCCGCCGAUUCCCACCGGACGCAAGACCCCUGUAGUUUCCAGCCCAAAGCCACCUGCUGGGGAGACAGAGAGUGCAAACAUGAAUGGAUAAAUGUUAAAUCACUUUUAACUGACUCCUUAAAAUGUGUGUUAGAUCACAAAAAAAAUGUCUCUGAAACCACACAUUUGUUGCUGUCUCACCACAAACUACAGUACACUGAUGGUAACACGAUACAGUCAAGCCAAACACUUGAGGUUAGAUUUUUGCACUUGCCUUUUCCUGCAUCUGUUGCUCGUGCUGCAACAUGUCUGGAUCCUUUACCCCCUUCUAUAUACUGUGUUCCUGUGAAGUGAUGGCGCUAAUGGCCACAUAUACUGUAUGCUGACUGGAGUAUAAUUAUAAGGAUGUGCAGAAUUACUGUCUUUCUGACCUAAAGGUGUCUGGUGAUGACACACAUUGUGGUUUAGGCUCUCACAGACUGAUGAGCAUGUCUUUCAUCCAUGUGUUGAACUAAACAGAUAUAGUUCCUCUUUGUAUUAAUAUGAGGUAUCUGUUCAUCGUGGAAAUGGUUUUUGUCAGGUUUUAUGAGUGAAGCAUUAAUUUUCUUGACAGUGAAGUGGUGUUGCAUUUCCUGCUGUUCAGUAAUCUCAUCAAACAGGAUUUGCCAUCGACAUCUAGAUACUGAUCUUUUAUAUUUAGCGUGAGGCUCUUGUCACUGGAUGGUAAAUACAUCAUUAAUCUUUAUCUCCUCUGAUGGGAUUAUUUAUUCAACUGGAAAUGCGUUGGUAUGGAAGUUGUUGACAGGCCGUAAACAGUGAGCCAUCACACCACGGCACCGUGUUUGUCAGCUUGUGUGUGCACGUUUGUGAGUGUUGCACAUUUUCUGCUUUUAUAUUUGGUAAAUAUUGUUUAUUGCUGAAUAGUUGCCUGUCACAGUUGUCCGCAUCUCUUAUUCAGCUCCUCAGCCCGUCAGCUCGUGCUGUUGCUGCACGUGAACGCGCACGUGUGCAUGUUGUUUCCUGCAGUACGGAGUUCUACACACACACAUAGAGGACACCUGGCCAUCCAUCACUAUCUGUCUUCCUCUUAGGCAGCAGAUGUUCCAACCCCGUCUUAAUUCUUUGGCAGUUUGAAACCAGCCAGUGUCUUCAGGGCCCCUGGGGUCUAACCCACUUACACUGCAACCUGCACCCUGUAGCACAGCCUGUCAUUGGCUAACGUGGUGUCUUCCUGCACAUUAACAUUGCAUGAGAUGCAGGUAUAUGAAUAUUGUGAAUGCAUGAUCUAAUAAUCUACAUCAUCUGUGUCUUUGUGUCUGUGAUGUAUUUUUCAUGCUCAUCUGUUACUCUGUGUCUUUGUCUUCAUGCCUACUCAUUGUAACACUACAGCCUUCAUGGUCAAAUGAAUAAAAACUUAUAAAUAAUGUUAUGGGCA